rnacentral:lncRNA from 1 species
AACAAGCAAAAACAUCAUACUCAAGAUCACUUUCAUCUACAAACAAUCAAUCAGGAACGCAAUGCAAUUCAUUCAACACUUAUCCAUCAGGUUCAUAUCUCUCUCUUCACACAAUCUCACAAAAUUCUCUCANNAUAUCACUCAAAUCCUAGAUCAUGCAUCCGCCUACCAUAAGCUUGAAAAAAUUCUAUACAGCAAUCACAAAAUAAUUAUGCAUACACUUUUAGAGGACUUUUCAGGUUAUAACGGGGCUUAGGUGAAGGUAGGAUAUAUAUUUUUGGAUAGUAGGCUAAAGACUUGGAGUUAGAUAGACUAUCUCAAUGUAUCCACUUCUUACGAUUCACAUCAAAACCUUUAAUAAGAUAAAACAUGAGAGCUUAGAGAACUGUUGUCUAAUCACAACCUUUAGCACAAAAAUUUAAAUGCAUAUUUUUGGCUUUUGAUUUUCUUUUCUUUUUUUUUUUCUUCCAAUUUUU